rnacentral:rRNA from 1 species
AUUAAACGCUGGCGGCAUGCCUUACACAUGCGAGUCGAACGGCAGCACGGGGGCAACCCUGGUGGCGAGUGGCGAACGGGUGAGUAAAGCAUCGGAACGUGCCCUGGAGUGGGGGAUAACGUAGCGAAAGUUACGCUAAUACCGCAUAUUCUGUGAGCAGGAAAGCAGGGGAUCGCAAGACCUUGCGCUCUGGGAGCGGCCGAUGUCGGAUUAGCUAGUUGGUGGGGUAAAGGCCUACCAAGGCGACGAUCCGUAGCGGGUCUGAGAGGAUGAUCCGCCACACUGGGACUGAGACACGGCCCAGACUCCUACGGGAGGCAGCAGUGGGGAAUUUUGGACAAUGGGCGAAAGCCUGAUCCAGCCAUGCCGCGUGAGUGAAGAAGGCCU